rnacentral:rRNA from 1 species
AACGAACGUUGGCGGCGUGGAUUAGGCAUGCAAGUCGCGGGAAUCCCAGCAAUGGGGGAACCGGCGUAAGGGGCAGUAAGGCAUGGAUCACCUACCCCGCGGUUCGGGAUAGCCCAUCGAGAGAUGGGGUAAUACCGGAUGAUGUCGAGAGACCAAAGCUCCGGCGCCGUGGGAGGGGUCCAUGUGGUAUUAGCUUGUUGGUGGGGUAACGGCCCACCAAGGCGUAGAUGCCUAGCGGGUGUGAGAGCACGACCCGCGCCACUGGCACUGAGACACUGGCCAGACACCUACGGGUGGCUGCAGUCGAGGAUCUUCGGCAAUGAGCGCAAGCUUGACCGAGCGACGCCGCGUGUGCGAUUGAAGGCCUUCGGGUUGUAAAGCACUGUCGAGGGGGAGAAAAGCCCGCAAGGGUGUGAUCUAUCCCUGGAGGAAGCACGGGCUAAGUUCGUGCCAGCAGCCGCAGUAAGAC